CCGCGUGGAGGAUGAAGGUCCUCUGGAUUGUAAACUUCUUUUAUAUGGGACGAAAAAAGGCUUUUCCAAGUCGUCUGACGGUACCAUAUGAAUAAGCACCGGCUAACUCCGUGCCAGCAGCCGCGGUAAUACGGAGGGUGCAAGCGUUAUCCGGAUUCACUGGGUUUAAAGGGUGCGUAGGUGGGUUGGUAAGUCAGUGGUGAAAUCCCCGAGCCUAACUUGGGAACUGCCAUUGAUACUAUCAGUCUUGAAUACCGUGGAGGUCAGCGGAAUGUGUCAUGUAGCGGUGAAAAUGCUUAGAUAUGACAUAGAACACCAAUUGCGAAGGCAGCUGGCUACACGAAUAUUGACACUGAGGCACGAAAGCGUGGGGAUCAAACAGGAUUAAAUACCCUGGUAGUCCACGCCCUAAACUAUGGAUACUCGACAUACGCGAUACACUGUGUGUGUCUGAGCGAAAGCUUUAAGUAUCCCACCUGGGAAGUACGACCGCAAGGUUG
rnacentral:rRNA from 1 species